CCGGGCACCAAACGGGACCGUCCUAAGGUGUCCCCGAAGAUCUGCGGGGGACAGGAGGGAGUAAGCGAGAAGAAUCCCAAAGACCGGACGGCAGCCUCGGACUCCCCAGCCUCCUGGACCUCGGCCUUCCGUACAAGAUGAGCUGGCUGUCAUGUUCCUGUGUGCAUCUGGGUAUGUUGUCCUCUGCACAGACAUCAACAACUGAGUGAGCCCAGUUCAAAUACAUGACUCCAAGAUUCAUCUCCUCUAGACUAGCAUCUGUGCUGAUCUAGAUGGCUUAUCUGGCAGGGUGACCGCAGACUCAAAGCCCUGGUGACCCCGCCCAUUUACAGUAAAAAUGAAGUAUGGGAAGACCAACAGAGAUCACAUUACAUCACAGUUUCCUCUAUGCCCUCUGCACAGCAGUUUUACCUCCUCAAAAUGAACAAAGUGAAUUGUACUGGGCAGUAUGGUAUGUUCUCUUCUUUGCCUGAUAAGUCUGCUGAUGUUAGAAACCCAAGGUGACAGACAGCAACAAACA